UUACUAUGAGUGCGCAAACUGUUUCUAACAGGGAUUUGUUUUGUAAGUUCCAGCAGAGGAGAAGGAACAUGGCUGUAAUCUCUGGGAGGAACCCUGAUCCACCAUCACAGCCUCGGUGCAGCCUGGACAUGGGCUUUUAUUGCAACAUAUUCCCAGGAUUGCUAAGUUUCUCAAGGGAGCUCAACCAAUUGCAACGAUGAAGUUGUCUUGGCCUUAUCCUGUUUUUCCAUCUUGCAGUGAAUGUAACUUCAUAAGGCUGAAUCUAAUUUAUUUGCCACAAUAAAAUUAUCACACACG
rnacentral:lncRNA from 1 species